AUUGAACGCUGGCGGCAGGCCUAACACAUGCAAGUCGAACGAGUGGCGGACGGGUGAGUAAUGUCUGGGAAACUGCCUGCUGGAGGGGGAUAACUACUGGAAACGGUAGCUAAUACCGCAUACCAUCGGAUGUGCCCAGAUUGGAUUAGCUAGUAGGUGGGGUAACGGCUCACCUAGGCGACGAUCCCUAGCUUGUCUGAGAGGAUGACCGGCCACACGGGAACUGAGACACGGUCCAGACUCCGACUGGAGGCAGCAGUGGGGAAUAUUGGACAAUGGGCGCAAGCCUGAUGCAGCCAUGCCGCGUGUAUGAAGAAGGCCUUCGGGUUGUAAAGUACUUUCAGCGGGGAGGCGGUACCCGCAGAAGAAGCACCGGCUAACUCCGUGCCAGCAGCCGCGGUAAUAC
rnacentral:rRNA from 1 species